GACGAACGCUGGCGGCGUGCCUAAUACAUGCAAGUCGAACGCAUUUUCUUUCACCGUAGCUUGCUACACCGAAAGAAAAUGAGUGGCGAACGGGUGAGUAACACGUGGGUAACCUGCCCAUCAGCGGGGGAUAACACUUGGAAACAGGUGCUAAUACCGCAUAAUUCCAUUUACCGCAUGGUAGAUGGAUGAAAGGCGCUUUUGCGUCACUGAUGGAUGGACCCGCGGUGCAUUAGCUAGUUGGUGGGGUAACGGCCUACCAAGGCUGCGAUGCAUAGCCGACCUGAGAGGGUGAUCGGCCACACUGGGACUGAGACACGGCCCAGACUCCUACGGGAGGCAGCAGUAGGGAAUCUUCGGCAAUGGACGCAAGUCUGACCGAGCAACGCCGCGUGAGUGAAGAAGGUUUUCGGAUCGUAAAACUCGGUUGUUAGAGAAGAACAAGGAUGAGAGUGGAAAGUUCAUCCCUUGACGGUAUCUAACCAGAAAGCCACGGCUAACUACGUG
rnacentral:rRNA from 1 species